rnacentral:lncRNA from 1 species
CCCUUUUGUUUUCCAUUUAAUUAAUAUUGCCAAUAAUUAACAAGUUCCGGGUCGAAUUCGAUACCGAUACCAAUAGUAUAUUCACCUGUUACCUAUUACCUUAUCUGUACGUUCCGCAGCUGACAGGCGCACCACCAAACGGUGUAUUUAGGAUUUUGCUAUAUACACGGGUCAUAAUCACAGGGUUGACACUACUAAAUUCAAUCAUUGUCAAAUUGUUCCCUAUUGUAGUAUUUUAAUCAGUAAGACUUUUUAAGAUGAC